CCUUUUGGUUGGAGAAACAUUAUUUCUGGAAUAUAUAUUGAUUACAUUCCAGAAUCCCUUACCAUCAUGGAAAGAAUUCAGUGUCCCUUCCCUGAUGGUAAAGGUAUAAUGUAAUCAACUUGCCCUCAAGUUCCUAUUUGAUUUCCUGAAGGGAUGGUGUUAUAUAGGUAGUGGUGUGCUAAAGCUGUCUUGAUUUGUUUCUUAUGAUUUACAUUUUGCAUUUCUUCACAGUAUUGCCUUCAAUGAUUUCAGGUUUUGGGGUACAUGUGAAGAACAUGCAAGAUUGCUGCAUAGGGAGAGAAAGUGAGGCAUUUAUUGCAGGACACCAACCAAGAAGAAUUGUGUAGUUCAUGCUGAGUACUCAAACUCCCUGAUGGCUUAGAGGUAAAGUUUUUUUGAAUUAUUUCUCACUUUUUAAAAUUUCCAUAUAU
rnacentral:lncRNA from 1 species